AUAAUUAUUUUUAAUAAGGUGCAAUCUAUUGAGUAUCCGCUAGGGGACACUGUUUUGACCAGAGAAGAAGACAACAGCAGCCUCAGUCCAUCACUGUAACAGACCCAUGACAGCAGACGCUAUCAAUAGCACUCUCACAUUUACACAUUUAAUAGCACUCUCCUUGGUUUGUAAGGUGUAGGCAGGGAUUAAAUUUAGAUUUUAUAUGCACGUGUAAAUGGUUUAAAACUUCCUUUCUUUAUAAAUCUUGUUUAAUCAUAAAGUGCAUUACUAUAUUUUUCAAUACCAAUCACUUGUUAAAGUUUGUACAAUCAAUGGGAUCAGUUGCAAUGCAUAUAUGUGAAUGAUAAAAGUAAAUUGCACAUUUGUUGAAGAAAA